rnacentral:rRNA from 1 species
ACUCAAAUGAAUAGACGGGGACCCGCACAAGCGGUGGAGCAUGUGGUUUAAUUCGUAGGUAAGCGAGGAACCUUACCAGGUCUUGACAUAUAUCUGCACGCCUUUAGAAAUAUUGGCCUCCUUCGAGGGUGAUAUACAGGUGCUGCACGGUUGUCGUCAGCUCGUGUCGUGAGAUGUAGGCUUAAGUGCCUGAACGAGCGCAACCCUUGUCAUUAGUUACCGUGUCUAAUGAGACUGCCGGGGUUUAACCCGGAGGAAGGUGGGGAUGACGUCAAAUCAGCGUGGCUCUUACGACCUGGGCUACACACGUGCUACAAUGGGCGACACAAAGGGACGCCAAAGCGUAAGCUGGAGCAAAUCCCAAAAAAUCGCCCCCAGUUCGGAUUGAGGUCUGCAACUCGACCUCAUGAAGCCGGAAUCGCUAGUAAACGUGAAUCAGCCUCGUCACGUUGAAUACGUUCUCGGGUCUUGCACACACCGCCCGU